GACGAACGCUGGCGGCGUGCUUAACACAUGCAAGUCGAGCGGUAAGGCCCGUUUCGGGGUACACGAGCGGCGAACGGGUGAGUAACACGUGGGUGACCUGCCCUCAGCUCUGGGGAUAAGCCUGGGAAACCGGGUCUAAUACCGGAUAUGACUCCAUGACGCAUGUUGUGGGGUGGAAAGCCUUGUGCGGCUGAGGAUGGGCCCGCGGCCUAUCAGCUUGUUGGUGGGGUGAUGGCCUACCAAGGCGACGACGGGUAGCCGGCCUGAGAGGGC
rnacentral:rRNA from 1 species